AUUCAACUAACGAGUCCUAAAAUAAGACGAGACGCAUGUCCUGAAU
rnacentral:hammerhead_ribozyme from 1 species